AAAAUGACCGGCGGAAUGUAGCUUCGAUUUCGGUUGAAGUGUUAUACCUCUGGUAGAUGUGGUGAUUGGGACUGAGGAUUGCAACGAAUAUCCUUUGGGCUAUCCUCUGAUCUCUGAAAGUCGCUCGGGGGUCGAAAGCGUGCUUAUGAUCAUUCGAGUUGGCGUCAAUAGGUUAGAACGUGAUUAUAUUCGUUAAGGAUGUUGACGUAAUGGCUUUAAACGA
rnacentral:rRNA from 1 species